UACGUAGGGGGCAAGCGUUGUCCGGAUUUAUUGGGCGUAAAGAGCGUGUAGGCGGUUUGGUAGGUCCGCUGUGAAAACUCGAGCUCAACUUCGAGACGCCGGUGGAAACCAUCAGACUAGAGUCCGGAAGAGGAGAGUGGAAUUCCUGGUGUAGCGGUGAAAUGACGCAGAUAUCAGGAAGAACACCCGUGGCUAAGGCGGCUCUCUAGUACGGUACUGACGCUGAGACGCGAAAGCGUGGGGAGCGAACAGG
rnacentral:rRNA from 1 species